AUUGAACGCUGGCGGCAUGCUUUACACAUGCAAGUCGAACGGCAGCGCGGGGGCAACCCUGGCGGCGAGUGGCGAACGGGUGAGUAAUAUAUCGGAACGUACCCAGAAGUGGGGGAUAACGUAGCGAAAGUUACGCUAAUACCGCAUACGAUCUACGGAUGAAAGUGGGGGGACCUUCGGGCCUCAUGCUUUUGGAGCGGCCGAUAUCUGAUUAGCUAGUUGGUGAGGUAAAGGCUCACCAAGGCGACGAUCAGUAGCUGGUCUGAGAGGACGACCAGCCACACUGGAACUGAGACACGGUCCAGACUCCUACGGGAGGCAGCAGUGGGGGAAUUUUGGACAAUGGGGGGCAACCCUGAUCCAGCAAUGCCGCGUGAGUGAAGAAGGCCUUCGGUUGGUUAAAGGUACUCUUUUGUUCUAGGGAAGAAAACGGGGGUAGGGCGUAAUAUACUGCUCCUAA
rnacentral:rRNA from 1 species